rnacentral:rRNA from 1 species
GAUGAACGCUGGCGGCGUGCCUAAUACAUGCAAGUCGAGCGAACGGACGAGAAGCUUGCUUCUCUGAUGUUAGCGGCGGACGGGUGAGUAACACGUGGAUAACCUACCUAUAAGACUGGGAUAACUUCGGGAAACCGGAGCUAAUACCGGAUAAUAUUUUGAACCGCAUGGUUCAAAAGUGAAAGACGGUCUUGCUGUCACUUAUAGAUGGAUCCGCGCUGCAUUAGCUAGUUGGUAAGGUAACGGCUUACCAAGGCAACGAUGCAUAGCCGACCUGAGAGGGUGGUCGGCCACCCUGGAACUGAGGCACGGUCCAGACUCCUACGGGAGGCAGCAGUAGGGAAUCUUCCGCAAUGGGCGAAAGCCUGACGGAGCAACGCCGCGUGAGUGAUGAAGGUCUUCGGAUCGUAAAACUCUGUUAUUAGGAAAGAACAUAUGUGUAAGUAACUGUGCACAUCUUGACGGUACCUAAUCAGAAAGCCACGGCUAACUACGUG